rnacentral:rRNA from 1 species
UACGUAGGGGGCAAGCGUUGUCCGGAUUUAUUGGGCGUAAAGAGCGUGUAGGCGGCCGUACAGGUCAGCUGUGAAAACUCGAGGCUCAACCUCGAGACGUCGGUUGAAACCGUACGGCUAGAGUCCGGAAGAGGAGAGUGGAAUUCCCGGUGUAGCGGUGAAAUGCGCAGAUAUCAGGAAGAACACCUAUGGCGAAGGCAGCACUCUGGGACGGUACUGACGCUGAGACGCGAAAGCGUGGGGAGCGAACAGG